GGGAAAUUUCACUAGCCACCUAAACUAAAAAUGGCGCUAAUCCACUCUCCUUCUUCUCUUAUCCAGAAAUCCUAUUAUCAUCUUUUCUACGCUCCUCUCCUUCUCUCUCGAACCAAAUCCAAACUCAGAAUCCGAUCCCAAAAACCCACCAACGACUCUGCCACACCCAAGAAAUCCACCCCGCCUGGGCUAGGGUUUGGGUCCUCUUCUCCUGCAGCUUCAACCAAGUCAAGUCCAACUAAGGCAGGUGCCAGUAUUCUGAAUAAUAAGAAAAAACAGAAGGGCAAAAGAGAGAGGGCCUCCAUAAUUAGGCGGUCACCGGUUGAGAAGCCAGCAUUUGUAAGCCAAGAGGAUGAGGCUAAAGCUAAGGAACAGAGUAAGAAUGAGAGUGCCUUUCUUCUUGCUUGGUUGGGCCUUGGCGGGAUCAUUCUCGCCCAGGGCAUUGUGCUUGCUGCAUCAGGCUUCCUACCUGACAAAUGGGAUAAAUUUUUUGUGAAGUAUCUGUACCCAUCUUUCACCCCUACGGUCUUCUUGUUUGUUGCUGGAACUGUUGCAUAUGGAGUGUUGAAAUACCUGCAGAAUGAGAACCUUGAAGACCAAAAAUGAUAGUUUCUGAAUAUAAACUAAUAUUUUCUGUUGUAUGAGGAUCAAUUCUUAGAUAUAGAUGAGUGAUUGUUCAAUGUUGUUUCUUAGGCUGUAAUUUGACAUACUGUUAACGAAGAUGCAUUGUAAGGGAAAAUUCUCGUUACUUCUUUCCACAAGAGGAGCCAUCUGCUGUACAUCCAUUUAAGUUGCUGGAAAUUCCUAAUUGCCUAAUGAAGCAGACACGUGAUUUUUCUGACCAUAACCUUAACUAUGAUUCAUUAUUCUUUUCCUCUGGUGGCAUAUGAGCAUUUCAACUUUCAAGUUCCUGGACUGUAGUGACAUUGUCCAAGUUUGGGAUCCACUUCUUUGGGUUGGAGUUGUUUUCGAGAUAUUGUUUCUCUACAAUAAGUAGGGUAAAUUUGACAAGAAUGUUUUGAGCAGAUGCUGCAUAAAAGUCUCAACAUCUCAAGAACAAAAUGUGAGAAGUUGUGGACAGGUUAAUUCGACCUCAUACUCAUGUUGGUCUCAGGGAACCUCGUGCUUUUGUGGCCAGGUGCGAUUUUUUUUUUUUUCUUGUCAAAUUUUUUAGUAGUAUCAACUUCUGUUAUACAAUAAGGUCAUAUUGAAUGCAGUUGUGCCAUACUUGAAUAUUAAUGAACAUGUCCAUUCUUGUUUACUUUAACUAUAAAUUGUUAAAGUCAGAAUUUCAACCAGGAUAAUCACUCAAUAUAUAGUGCCUCUAGAUGAGUAUUUAGUUAGUGAUAUUUCUUACUCCAUUGUUGAGGCAUAUUUUCUUUUUAAAUAAUGGCAUUGACAUUAUUUGUCUCAUAAAUGGUGAUGGUGCAAUACUAAUUAUGGUGAUGAAUAGUUUUGUUGCUAAGAAUUUCCUGGAACUUUUGGGGCCAAUUUCCAGUUAGUUCACUUGCGAUUCUUACAACAAUGCAGCAUGUGUAGCAAAUGUGGACAGAAAAAAAAAAUAGUGGUAAAAAUGGGGUAAUCUUUAGUACAUUAUUUUCAAGUCAAAUUAACUGUAUAUCACAAAAUUGCGGUAGCUGCAUUUGGAUGUCAAUUUUGAGCUUCUUGAUUUUUGUAUGUGUAUAUAUUAGCUUAGUUCAGUUCUACCUUUUGGAAAUUCAUUGUUAACAUUUGAUGAGAUGGUUUGUUCAUGAGCAAUGAUGAAAGCUGAUUAUACCAGUUUGGCAGAAUUCAGGGAAGAUUUAAUUGGAGUUGUAGGCUCUUAAAAGGAUGAAAGAGUUUUUAUGAUCUGAUUUGUUACAUCGAACAUAUGGUGCUGUGUAGAGUUAAACAUUAAAGCCCCUCAUAUGGAGUUCAUAAUUAUGAGCAUAUGCAUUUACAUUCUAUACCUAGUCGCUCAGGAUGGCGCUGUUUUUUUUCACCUUCUAGUACUUUGAAUUAUUGUAGUCAGUGCAGCUACAACCUUAUUUGUCCCCAAAAUUCAGGGAAGUCUUUUUUUUUUUA